rnacentral:rRNA from 1 species
AGGCAUGCAAGUCGAACGAGGUCCGAUCGGUGGCAACACCGUGAAGUACCUAGUGGCGAACGGGUGAGUAACACGUGAGGAACCUGCCCCGAAGACCGGGAUAACUCUCCGAAAGGAGUGCUAAUACCGGAUACCCCCACCUAAUCGCAUGAUCUGGUGAGGAAAUGGAUUCCGCUUCGGGAGGGCCUCGCGGCCUAUCAGCUUGUUGGUGAGGUAACGGCUCACCAAGGCAUCGACGGGUAGCUGGUCUGAGAGGACGAUCAGCCACACUGGGACUGAGACACGGCCCAGACUCCUACGGGAGGCAGCAGUGGGGAAUCUUGCGCAAUGGGCGAAUGCCUGACGCAGCAACGCCGCGUGGGGGAUGAAGGCUCUCGGGUUGUAAACCCCUUUCAGCAGGAACGAAUCAAGACGGUACCUGCAGAAGAAGCCCCGGCUAACUACGUGCCAGCAGCCGCGGUAACACGUAGGGGGCAAGCGUUGUCCGGAUUUAUUGGGCGUAAAGAGCUCGUAGGCGGCUAAGUAAGUCGGAUGUUAAAUCCCCAGGCUCAACCUGGGACACCACCCGAUACCGCUUUGGCUAGAGUCCGGUAGGGGAGCGUGGAAUUCCUGGUGUAGCGGUGAAAUGCGCAGAUAUCAGGAGGAACACCAGCGGCGAAGGCGGCGCUCUGGGCCGGAACUGACGCUGAGGAGCGAAAGCGUGGGUAGCAAACAGGAUUAGAUACCCUGGUAGUCCACGCCGUAAACGUUGGGCACUAAGUAGAGGGGUU